GCCUUCGUGGUGUAGUGGUCAGCACACUCGACGCGUAAUCGAGAGGUCCGUGGUUCUAGUCCCACCGAGGGCG
rnacentral:tRNA from 1 species